CCUACGGGAGGCAGCAGUGAGGAAUAUUGGUCAAUGGACGAGAGUCUGAACCAGCCAAGUAGCGUGAAGGAUGACUGCCCUAUGGGUUGUAAACUUCUUUUAUAUGGGAAUAAAACGUUCCACGUGUGGGAUUUUGUAUGUACCAUAUGAAUAAGGAUCGGCUAACUCCGUGCCAGCAGCCGCGGUAAUACGGAGGAUCCGAGCGGUAUCCGGAUUUAUUGGGUUUAAAGGGAGCGUAGGAGGAUUGUUAAGUCAGUUGUGAAAGUUGACGGCUCAACUGUAAAAUUGCAGUUGAAACUGGCAGUCUUGAGGACAGUAGAGGGGGGCGGAAUUCGUGGUGUAGCGGUGAAAUGCUUAGAUAUCACGAAGAACUCCGAUUGCGAAGGCAGUUCACUGGACUUCAACUGACACUGAGGCUCGAAAGUGUGGGUAUCAAACAGGAUUAGAUACCCCUGUAGUC
rnacentral:rRNA from 1 species